AAAUCUGCAAGGAUGUAAACCUAAAUAUUAACAGUGCUUCUUCUGUACUGUUGAUCAGGAAUGUCCCGCCUGCCUUCUCUUUCUCCUUAUUCACAGUUCCAGAUCAGUGGAGCAAACCUUGGCCUUACUUGUGUUACCCUUGCUGAAAGGCCCAGAGCACAAAGUCAGCCCUGGAAAGAAGAGGAGCCAGUGUCAACCAGCUGGAUGGUGAGAGGAAAACGUGGAGGUUGGCAGAAGGACAAAGGAAAGGCGGCUACCUCGUCCUGAGGGAACGAAAGAGCAAGUGGCCAUUUCCGGAGAGCUGCACUGCUCCCUGCAAGGCUGUGAACCAAUGGUGGUUUGCCUUCAGGGCUUAAGACCGAGGGGAGAGGGAAGGAAAGGAGAGCCGGGUGCGUCUUCGCUGCUAUGGAGUUGGAUGGCUUAUUUUGGAUGGCUUCCUAUCUAGACCCGGCAGGCCCGCCCCCUAAGCAAAGAGGCCUUGUUUAAUGCCAGCGUCACAUUUGAGGCAAGAAGAUGAAAGUUCAGAAAAAGUCCCCCUUUUUAGGAAUUUUUGCAGCACUUUUAUUUGCGUGACACAUAUUAAAAAAAAAAAAAAA
rnacentral:lncRNA from 1 species